UACAGAGGUGGCAAGCGUUGUUCGGAAUUACUGGGCGUAAAGGGCGCGUAGGCGGCCUACUAAGUCAGACGUGAAAUCCCCCGGCUUAACCUGGGAACUGCGUCUGAUACUGGAAGGCUUGAGUAUGGGAGAGGGAUGUAGAAUUCCCGGUGUAGCGGUGAAAUGCGUAGAGAUCGGGAAGAACAUCGGUGGCGAAAGCGCUCUACUGGACCGCAACUGACACUCAGGGACGAAAGCUAGGGGAGCGAAUGGG
rnacentral:rRNA from 1 species